rnacentral:rRNA from 1 species
CUUUAUCGGAGAGUUUGAUCCUGGCUCAGGACGAACGCUGGCGGCGUGCCUAAUACAUGCAAGUCGAGCGGAUUGAUGGGAGCUUGCUCCCUGAUAUCAGCGGCGGACGGGUGAGUAACACGUGGGCAACCUGCCUGUAAGACUGGGAUAACUUCGGGAAACCGGAGCUAAUACCGGAUAAUCCUUUUCCUCUCA